GAUGAACGCUAGCGGCAGGCUUAAUACAUGCAAGUCGAGGGGCAGCACAGGUAGCAAUACUGGGUGGCGACCGGCAAACGGGUGCGGAACACGUACGCAACCUUCCUUUAAGUGGGGGAUAGCCCAGGCAAACUUGGAUUAAUACCCCUUAACAUUAUGAGAUGGCAUCAUUUUAUAAUUAAAGCUCCGGCGCUUAAAGCUGGGCGUGGGCAUGAUUAGGUAGUUGGCGGGGGAACAGCCCACAAAGCCUACGAUCAGUAACUGGUGUGAGAGCACAACCAGUAACACGGGAACUGAGACACGGGCCCGACUCCUACGGGAGGCAGCAGUAAGGAAUAUUGGUCAAUGGACGCAAGUCUGAACCAGCCAUGCCGCGUGGAGGAUGACGGCCCUCUGGGUUGUAAACUCCUUUUAUCUGGGAAGAAAUGCAGAUUUUCUAAUCUGUUUGACGGUACCAGAGGAAUAAGCACCGGCUAACUCCGUGCCAGCAGCCGCCGUAA
rnacentral:rRNA from 1 species